AGUGGCGAACGGGUGAGUAACACGUGGGCAAUCUGCCCUGCACUCUGGGACAAGCCCUGGAAACGGGGUCUAAUACCGGAUACUGAUCCUCGCAGGCAUCUGCGAGGUUCGAAAGCUCCGGCGGUGCAGGAUGAGCCCGCGGCCUAUCAGCUAGUUGGUGAGGUAACGGCUCACCAAGGCGACGACGGGUAGCCGGCCUGAGAGGGCGACCGGCCACACUGGGACUGAGACACGGCCCAGACUCCUACGGGAGGCAGCAGUGGGGAAUAUUGCACAAUGGGCGAAAGCCUGAUGCAGCGACGCCGCGUGAGGGAUGACGGCCUUCGGGUUGUAAACCUCUUUCAGCAGGGAAGAAGCGAAAGUGACGGUACCUGCAGAAGAAGCGCCGGCUAACUACGUGCCAGCAGCCGCGGUAAUACGUAGGGCGCAAGCGUUGUCCGGAAUUAUUGGGCGUAAAGAGCUCGUAGGCGGCUUGUCACGUCGGUUGUGAAAGCCCGGGGCUUAACCCCGGGUCUGCAGUCGAUACGGGCAGGCUAGAGUUCGGUAGGGGAGAUCGGAAUUCCUGGUGUAGCGGUGAAAUGCGCAGAUAUCAGGAGGAACACCGGUGGCGAAGGCGGAUCUCUGGGCCGAUACUGACGCUGAGGAGCGAA
rnacentral:rRNA from 1 species